rfam:Gossypium arboreum cultivar AKA8401 contig_31957_3, whole genome shotgun sequence.
AACCUAUGGUGAGGGCACCUUCUCAGUAAGCCCUUGUAUCUUUCCCAUGCAUCGUAAAGUGUUUCUAAAUCCAUCUGCACAAAAGAAGAGAUAUCAUUACGUAAUUU